rnacentral:rRNA from 1 species
AUACGGAGGAUGCGAGCGUUAUCCGGAUUUAUUGGGUUUAAAGGGUGCGUAGGCGGACGAUUAAGUCAGCUGUGAAAUGCCCGCGCUUAACGCGGGAAGUGCAGUUGAUACUGGUUGUCUGGAGUGCCGUUGCCGUGGGGGGAAUGUGUAGUGUAGCGGUGAAAUGCAUAGAUAUACCACAGAACGCCGAUUGCGAAGGCAGCUUACUAAGCUGUUACUGACGCUGAGGCACGAAAGCGUGGGGAUCAAACAGGAUUAGAUACCCUGGUAGUCCGCACAGUAAACGAUGAAUACUCGCUGUUUGCGAUACACUGUAAGCGGCCAAGCGAAAGCGUUAAGUAUUCCACCUGGGGAGUACGCCGGCAACGGUGAAACUCAAAGGAAUUGGCGGGG